AGAGUUUGAUCCUGGCUCAGGACGAACGCUGGCGGCGUGCUUAACACAUGCAAGUCGAACGAUGAUGCCCAGCUUGCUGGGCGGAUUAGUGGCGAACGGGCGAGUAAUACGUGAGUAACCUGCCCUUGACUCUGGGAUAAGCCUGGGAAACUGGGUCUAAUACUGGAUACUACCUCUUACCGCAUGGUGGGUGGUGGAAAGGGUUUUACUGGUUUUGGAUGGGCUCACGGCCUAUCAGCUUGUUGGUGGGGUAAUGGCUCACCAAGGCGACGACGGGUAGCCGGCCUGAGAGGGUGACCGGCCACACUGGGACUGAGACACGGCCCAGACUCCUACGGGAGGCAGCAGUGGGGAAUAUUGCACAAUGGGCGGAAGCCUGAUGCAGCGACGCCGCGUGAGGGAUGACGGCCUUCGGGUUGUAAACCUCUUUCAGUAGGGAAGAAGCGAGAGUGACGGUACCUGCAGAAGAAGCGCCGGCUAACUACGUGCCAGCAGCCGCGGUAAUACGUAGGGCGCAAGCGUUGUCCGGAAUUAUUGGGCGUAAAGAGCUCGUAGGCGGUUUGUCGCGUCUGCUGUGAAAGCCCGGGGCUCAACCCCGGGUCUGCAGUGGGUACGGGCAGACUAGAGUGCAGUAGGGGAGACUGGAAUUCCUGGUGUAGCGGUGAAGUGCGCAGAUAUCAGGAGGAACACCGAUGGCGAAGGCAGGUCUCUGGGCUGUUACUGACGCUGAGGAGCGAAAGCAUGGGGAGCGAACAGGAUUAGAUACCCUGGUAGUCCAUGCCGUAAACGUUGGGCACUAGGUGUGGGGGACAUUCCACGUUUUCCGCGCCGUAGCUAACGCAUUAAGUGCCCCGCCUGGGGAGUACGGCCGCAAGGCUAAAACUCAAAGGAAUUGACGGGGGCCCGCACAAGCGGCGGAGCAUGCGGAUUAAUUCGAUGCAACGCGAAGAACCUUACCAAGGCUUGACAUUCACCGGACCGCCCCAGAGAUGGGGUUUCCCUUCGGGGCUGGUGGACAGGUGGUGCAUGGUUGUCGUCAGCUCGUGUCGUGAGAUGUUGGGUUAAGUCCCGCAACGAGCGCAACCCUCGUUCUAUGUUGCCAGCACGUGAUGGUGGGGACUCAUAGGAGACUGCCGGGGUCAACUCGGAGGAAGGUGGGGAUGACGUCAAAUCAUCAUGCCCCUUAUGUCUUGGGCUUCACGCAUGCUACAAUGGCCGGUACAAAGGGUUGCGAUACUGUGAGGUGGAGCUAAUCCCAAAAAGCCGGUCUCAGUUCGGAUUGAGGUCUGCAACUCGACCUCAUGAAGUCGGAGUCGCUAGUAAUCGCAGAUCAGCAACGCUGCGGUGAAUACGUUCCCGGGCCUUGUACACACCGCCCGUCAAGUCACGAAAGUUGGUAACACCCGAAGCCGGUGGCCUAACCCCUUGUGGGAGGGAGCCGUCGAAGGUGGGACUGGCGAUUGGGACUAAGUCGUAACAAGGUAACC
rnacentral:rRNA from 1 species